rnacentral:lncRNA from 10 species
GGCAGUCAUGCAGGAAGCAUGUAAUUUCCCAUACAGUCUGUUUUUCUUAUCAGCUCACUGUUUGCAAUUACUAGACCUUGAAUCUAGAGGUUCCUAAAGCAGUUGUGAUACUCAGAGAAGGUUCAUCAAGAAGACUACUCUUUGAUAAUAUUUAUUUCAUUAUUGAUCUCCUGAUAUUUGCUAGGCACUGUCAGAGGCCCAAGCAUAUCUAAAUUUACAAUGUUUUCUGCAAUUUACCCCCUUCCUCCCAUCAAUAUAAAGGAAAUGUAAUACAAUAUUUUAGCAUUGUAUGCAGCUAUGCCUUUUAUAUGAAAAAAGAUGUAUGAAAGUUGAUUUUAGGAAAAAUUCUGGUCCUCUAAUUCUUUCCUCUGAUUUCAUAGAAAGAUUUCUCUACUGGAAGGUAAGAAAUAUGAGGUCUUUCCUUUCUUUACUUUUUAAUGUCCCUUUAAUCUCACUAGGUAUCAAAUAUAAACAAGGACUUGGACUAUAUGACCUAGGAUGUCAAUUCCAUCUAUGGAAUUCUGUCAUAUGAGCCUAAUUAAAUUCAAGAUGAGGAUCAGCUUUUCCUCCGCCAUCUUGCUGAAGUUGUUGUUCUCCUCCAAAGCCUUCUGAAGGACUUCUCGCUCGUGUUCCCUCUUCUCUGCCAAUUGUUUCAGCACCUGGGCCUCCUGAGACUGGGGAAGAAAAACAUAGCCAUCUUAUAAUUAUCCAAACACAAACCUAGCAGAAUAACGGCCCACCAAUUGGAGGGAGCAUUCUUUUCAGAUGAAUAGUACUCCCAGCCUUGAGCACUAUUGUCAAGUCUGUACUCAUCUGCAUGGCUUAGAGUUUUCUAUAGAAUGUGGCUAGUUGGGAAAUGCGGUUAGCUGAAUUUUCAGCUGUGAGUAUAUUUCGGACUGUCUUAGAAGAAGAAGCAUUUAAUCCUCAUUGAGGAGUUACAAAUUUUUUUAAAAAAAGGCUUUGUUGCUAAGCGUUUAUGCAACAGAAAAUGCUAUAAUGAAUUACAGGAUGGCAAUAUUCAACCAAAGCCUGAGGAAAACAGUUGAGGACUGAGACAAGUUCUGAUCUUCUUCCUGAUCCAUUGUUUUUUCAUCAACUGUAGGCUAGGCCCUACAAUAAGCUUUUCAAUUUUCAUCAAUCAAAUAAUCAAAUUCACUUUCUCCUUUUAUUUCACACCCCCUUCCCCCCUCCCUAUCCCCCAUACACCAAAGUCUCUUUGGAGAUCUGAGAACAGUGCAAACUUAGUGUCCCCUUGGCCACAGAGAGCAGAAAGUCCUUGUUUUGACCCUCUCUUGAAACCCUGUGGUUGCUCAGUGAUUUAGAUCCAGAUGUACACCCUGCCCUGCACUUUGAGCACUGUAAUUUUCUUCCAGCAUCAGGAGUCUGUUUGGCUCUGUACAGUGAAUGGUAAUCACUGGAGCACUUGAUAACAAUGCAGGUGCCUGGCAUCUACCUCCAAAGAUUCUGAUUCCAAGGUUCUUUGGUGAGGCCCAGUGAUAAGCAUCACUAGUGACUCAAAUGCAGGUAGUCCAGUCUACCUUUUGUAAGUCAUACUGGCAUGGGCUUUGAUGUCAGGCCUGUGUUCAAGUCUUACCUCUGUUUGUGACCCAGGAUGUGUUACGUAACUUCUUUCCAUAUUCUUUUUAUUCUCCCCAUUAUGCAGCUGAGAAAAGUCCCACCCAAUACUGACCUAUUUAGGUUUAAGACUAAAUUAUUACACACUCAUGGCUUCUGGAUAAUUUCUCAGGAUCAGCUGAUGCCCCGAGGCAAUCCUUCACAGGAGUAAUUAUAAGUGGGAAUAUCUAAACAAUGGUUGAUCAAAAAAUAAUCCUAAGUGCCCUGUUAAAUACUGAUUACCAUUGAAAGCAUUAGUGGGAAAACAUUUUAGUUGAUGGUAGUGGUUGUGGACAUUUACUGGAAAGGUCUUUUUGUAUAAACAAUAUGGGGCCUGGAGAAAGGAGAAACUUCUCUUCAAAUAAAAUUCUACAGAAAUGGGAAAGUCAGACAGCCUUACACAUCUUUACUGAUGUGUUUAUUCUCAAGUUGAUCAGGAAUAGGUCUGUGGCUCACUGGAGAUUAGACAGAAAAUCCUGGGAACCAGCCCUGCCUCUUGCUUUAACCCCAUAAUGGUUUCAGGACAUUUUACUAUUUAUGUGUUUAUUUUUUUUUAGAUAGAGUCUCGCUCUGUCACCCAGGCAGAAGUACAGUGGCGUGAUCUCUGCUCACUGUAAUCUCUGCCUCUGAGGUUCAAGCGAUUCUCAUGUCUCAGCUUCCUGAGUAGCUGAGAUUACAGGUGUGUGCUACCACACCCUGCUAAUUUUUGUAUUUUUAGUAGAGAUGGGGUUUCGUCAUGUUGGCCAGGCUAGUCUUGAACUCCUGGCUUAAGUGAUCCACCCGCCUCGGCCUCCCAAAGUACUGGGAUUAUAGGUGUGAGCCACUGUGCUUGGCUGGUUUUAGGACAUUUUUAGUGGAAC